rnacentral:tRNA from 1 species
GCCGGUUAGCUCAGUCGGUAGAGCACCAGACCAUUAAUCUGGCUGUCGCGGGUUUGAGCCCCGCAUCGGGCU